CGCCUCUUUCUUCCUCGCACUCUCACGCCUCUCUCUCUCGUUACUUCUCUCGGCCGGCCAUGGCGACGCCGGACGCCACCCUUCCGUCGUUGACCCCAGUUUCAAUUUCAGUCACCGAGCUAGUGGAGGAGAGUGCAGCGAGGUUUGUUCGGGUCAGCGGCUGCCGAGCGUGUAUACGAGCGGUGGCUGCCCCGGAAGAGGCAGCAGCGGCGUCGUUCGGGGCAACGACUCCAACCCCGAGGGGAAAAACUCAUAAAGCUAGGUAUCGGGUUUCAAGGCGUGACUAUUGAGCAAGGUUAGGAAGGCAUGGAAAGUAUAUUUUAUUUUUAUUCUAGUGUUGAACUCGAUGUAAAAACGUCUAUAAACUUUCAUUUGAAACUCGGACUUCACAAAUGGACUAUAAGAAAAUUAAAUAUUCUAGUACAA